rnacentral:rRNA from 1 species
GACGAACGCUGGCGGCGUGCUUAACACAUGCAAGUCGAACGAAGAGCGACGGAAGCUUGCUUCUAUCAAUCUUAGUGGCGAACGGGUGAGUAACGCGUAAUCAACCUGCCCUUCAGAGGGGGACAACAGUUGGAAACGACUGCUAAUACCGCAUACGAUCUAAUCUCGGCAUCGAGGAUGGAUGAAAGGUGGCCUCUACAUGUAAGCUAUCACUGAAGGAGGGGAUUGCGUCUGAUUAGCUAGUUGGAGGGGUAACGGCCCACCAAGGCGAUGAUCAGUAGCCGGUCUGAGAGGAUGAACGGCCACAUUGGGACUGAGACACGGCCCAGACUCCUACGGGAGGCAGCAGUGGGGAAUCUUCCGCAAUGGACGAAAGUCUGACGGAGCAACGCCGCGUGAGUGAUGACGGCCUUCGGGUUGUAAGGCUCUGUUAAUCGGGACGAAAGGCCUUCUUGCGGAUAGUGAGAAGGAUUGACGGUACCGGAAUAGAAAGCCACGGCUAACUACGUG